GAUUAGAGCGCAGCAUUUAGUAUCUGUAGGAGACAGAGAAGGAAAGAUCAAAUGGGCAUCUUUGUCAGGUCCUGCUGAUGGCUGAGUCUAGAGGGACUGCUAAGUGGUGAUAGCCCAGGGGCAAACUGAGCUCCUGCUAGGAGGAUGAGCUGAAGGCUGAGCCGAAGGCUGAGUGAAGAGGCAAGUGCCAUCCACAAGUGAAAAGUAAAUGCCCCUGAACUUCCAGUCAGCUGAGGUGAAGGAUAUAGGGACCCUAGCUCUGCCCAACCAGCAGCCAGUGACAUCAGCCCCUUUCCUCCUGAUUCCUUCUGUCUGGAGCAGAG
rnacentral:lncRNA from 1 species